rnacentral:pre_miRNA from 1 species
GAAAUACUACCUCCGUUCCGAAUUACUUGUCGCGGGUAUGGAUGUAUCUAGAUGUAUUUUAGUUUUAAAUACAUCCAUUUCUGCGACAAGUAAUUUGGAACGGAGGGAGUAAGUG